UACGUAGGGUGCAAGCGUUGUCCGGAAUUAUUGGGCGUAAAGAGCUCGUAGGCGGUUUGUUGCGUCGGCUGUGAAAUCCCGAGGCUCAACCUCGGGUCUGCAGUCGAUACGAGCAAACUAGAGUGUUGCAGGGGAGACUGGAAUUCCUGGUGUAGCGGUGAAAUGCGCAGAUAUCAGGAGGAACACCGGUGGCGAAGGCGGGUCUCUGGGCAGUAACUGACACUGAGGAGCGAAAGCGUGGGGAGCGAACAGG
rnacentral:rRNA from 1 species